CCAAUUUUGCCCCGGGGCCCAAAACCUACCCAAUACCCGAAUAAUCCAUUACAGGCCUAAAACCCAAACCUACCUAAACCUACCCAACUAACCCAAUACCCAAAACCUAAACCAACUAGACCUAACCCAACAAACACAAAUAACAGGCCCAAAAAAUUAAAAAACCCAGCAGCCAAAACACCCCCAACCCAUUUUCAGCAAAAAACAGUAACCCUAACCCUAGGUACGUCACACCUAAGGUCGUCCACUUGCUCUGCCACCGCCGCAGCCACAUGCCCACCUACCCACCUGUUUCGUCAAGACCUAAAAACACGCAACAGCAGCAGAAGCAACAGAUGGAAAAGAAAAAUGACAGUUUAAAAUAAUUGUAAAAUGUUCAAAUCGAAUAUAAAAGAAGGGCUAGAUCUCCUUUGUAACUUUCUACGAAAUUUUGAAGAAAAAGAAAUAAAAACAGAAAAAAAGGUGAUUGCCGAUUUCGAUUUAAGGCUUUCUUUUUAUUUUUAUUUUUAUUUUUAUUUUUUUCUCUAUUUAUUUUUAUUUUUAUUUUUAAAAAAUAUAUACGAAAAUAAAGGAAAAGAGGUUUUUUUACUGUUUAUCGUCGUCGCCGAACGUACAUCGGGGAGCAAAAGGGGGAAUUAUUUUUGCUCCCAGUCGCCGUGUACGGCAGCGCCGGCGCCGGCUGCCAGUGGUCGAACCACUGGCCGGUUUAUGGGGAGAAGAGAGGUUUUGAGAGAGAAAUCUGGUUUUUUUUUUAGAGAAUGAGAGAAAUGAAUUUUUUGAAUUUUUUUUUGCUUAAAUAGCCCAAACAAAACAACGUUGUUUUGGCUGACGUCCUUAAUCCCCAAAACGGCGUCGUUUUGCCCUUAACCUAGAUUUCAACCCGACCCACCUGGAGGAUUCGCAUGUUUUCGACGGAAGCGCUAAUUGCACCUUUAGCCCUUCCGUUUUUUAAGGGUUUUUUUAAUUAAGUUUUUUUAUUUUCUUAAUUUUACCCCGUAAAUUGUUGCGCUUACAAUUUGGCCCUUAUUUGAACGACGCUGUUUUGGAAGAGAAAAGAAAAUUUCCCUUUUAAUCCCUCCUUUUUAUUCGCGCGUUCAAAUUAGUCAAUUUCUUUUUUAUUUAUUUCGAAUCCACCCCAAAUUUCCGUCUUUUAGUUCGAUUUAGUCCUUUAUACUUGUUAUUUUUUUAAUUAAUUAAUGUUAUUAUUAUUACUAUUAUUAUUGCUAUUAUUUAUAUAUUUCUAUUUAUAUUUAUGUAUCAGGUUUAAAGAUAUUUUGGUUUUCUCAUAUAUUUUUAUUUAUUUACUUAUAUCUUUUUUAUAAUUUUUAAAUUUUAGAUUAAUUCACUAUUUUUUUAUUAAUAUUAUUAUUAUUUACUUAUUAUUAUUUAUUUUAAUUUCAAACUUUGUUAUAUAUAUACGUACAUAUAUAUUUUUACAUUUUAUAAUUUUAUUUAUUUUCUUUAUUGUUAUUAUUUAUUUAUUUACAUGCCCAUUAUUAUUUUAAAAACGUUUUAAUUCUAUUAAUUUAUUUACUUGUUAUUAUAUAAUUGAUUUGUCUCUUUUAUUUAUUUAUCUUAAUUUUGUUGUUGUUCGUAUUAUUUUUACUUAUAUUAUCAUAUUUGUUAUUCCGUUAUGCAUAUUAACACCAUAUAUCAAAAGGAAAAUUUUUCUAAAUAAGGUAAUAUUUUGCGUUUGAAAAUUUGAGAAAACGUGCCCUAACGUGCUGGGUUUCGAUUUCUCGUUUGACCAAAUAGCCAAAUACCCUCUUAAAAUUUCAAAAUAUGGGUUUUGGAAACCAUAAGGUGAUCUUGGUUUCGAGAGUUUAAAGUAUCGUAUCCUAACGUGCUGGAUGUGAUAUUCUUUCGGAACAAGAGAAUCCUAAAUUCCAACCCAUAUCAUUCGAAAAAUAUUUAGGAUCGUAUUUUUAAAAUUAUUCAAAAUUUUUAAUCUUCGACACUAAGACACUAAUUAAUCAACUAGGUACCAAAUUUUGAGCGUUACAAGGGUGCUAACCCUUCAUCGUACUUAACCGACUCCCGAACUUAUUUUUCUGAAUUUCGUGGACCAAAAUCGUUAUUUUAAUAAAAUCAAAUCGUUUAUUAAAAACAACUACUUUUUGAGGUGGCCCGAUCACACCUUAUCAAAAAAGAUUGGUGGCGACUCUCAUAUUCAUUUUCAUUUUCAAAAUCCAAGUCGACCCCGUUUUACAAAAAAAAAAUGGUGUCAAUAGUAAAAUUACACUUUGGCUCAAAAAAAUAAAAAUUUGAUUUAAUCCUUUAAAAAUUGUAAAGAUAUAGUUUAUUAAAAUAGUGAAAUUACAUUUUUACUAUUGUAAAAAUAUACAAUUAAAUUCUGACCCAAAAAAAUUUUCUGGCUUCGCCUAUACAUUGGGGAUACAGGGGUAGGUGGGGGCCACUGCCUUCUUUAACUUUUUAGAAAUUUACAUAGCAUCUCCUUUAACAUCAACUUUAUUACAUUAAACCCCCCAAAAUAUUUAAAUUUUGCCCUCCUUAAACCUCCCAAAAAAACACCAACCCCUUUAAUUUUAUUCAUAUUUCAAACCAUAAAUAUAUAUACUUUAAUUAUUGAAUAAUUAUAUAUGAAAUUUAAUAGUAAAAAAAAUGUAGUCGACAAUGCUAAUAUAAAUUUGAUAGAAAUAAAAUAAUUCAUGAUGGGAGCCAUCAAUCGUAUGUAAAAGACUAACUUUGGAGAGGCGAGUUGGUUUGGAAAGGCGGAGACCACUUGAACCCUCCUAGUACAAGAUUAACUUUGAUGCGGCUUACCUUUCCAGAUCAAACAAAUCUUGUUCAGGGUUAGUUGCCCGUAAUACAGAUGGUAAGAUAAUGGGUUCAAGAACAAUUAUUAAUGAUAGCAUGUGUCUAGGCAGUUCAGAUGGGGUUAGAUCUGGGUCUCAGUAAGGUCGUGAUUGAAGGAGAUAAUCUUUCGAUGAUAAAAAAGCUACAUGCACGAGUGAUUAAAAGAUCAGUGUUGAGUGCCUAUAUAAUCAACGCAAAGAAAACCAGUGAAGAUUUUGUUGGAUGUAUGUUUAGGCAUGUAAUAAGAAAUGAAAAUGAACUGGCCCACAUUCUUGCUAAAGAGGGUUUGCGAAGGGAGGAAAAUACUUAUCUGUUGGAGAGGGUGCCUUCAUAUACAAUAGCAGCGACGGAGAUGGACAAUCGGCGAAUAGAUCAGGCUUCUCUUAGUGUCUGAGGCUUGGGAAAGAUGAAGAGAUAAGGAAGUCUCAAAUUUUUUACCUGUAAAGAGACAUUUUAUUUUCUGCAGUAUCCCCUAGUUUUGUUGUUUCAAAUGCCUUAAUAGAGGGAUGGGGCAACUCCUUUAUUAUUGACUGGGUUAUUUACGGGAAAUAGUGAAUGGUUUAAUUUAUUUAUUUUUUAUGUUGGUUACUGUGUUGCCGUUUCAUAUGGUUGAAAUUUUGUAAACCCUUUAUUUUUCUAUUAUUCUAAUCCA
rnacentral:lncRNA from 1 species